CCCAGCCCCCGCCCAUGGUCUGCAGGGUCCCUGGUGCCAAAGUCAAGCCAUUUCCUUCCCGGAUGACUUCAGCCCCCAAAGACCCUAGCUGGGAUGUCACUCAGCGCCCUCCCCAGAUAGGAGUGACCUGUCAGGUGUCUGGACCCCCAUCCCCCCAAUCCUGGUACCUCCACCUGAAUCUGGGAACUUUACUUCCAAGUGAAGCUAGAGACAUGGAGACAAUGGCCAAGGCGGGUGGAAAGGAAAGAAAGUGAGGAAGUGUCGAGCUCUGGACGCUGCGCUCUAAACUCUGUUCUCCACAGCAUUUAAAUGCCGGCAAGCGGAUUAAUAAGGUCUCGGUCACAGCAGCAGCAGUCUAUAUUUAAUCUAUCUGCAACGCCAGUUGGUCGGGCCGUGUGAAUAUUGAUGGCCGGGCGGGAUUGAGGACAGGCAGCAUGGCACCGGCUUUAUCUCUCGGGCGCAGGCGGCCGGGCCCUUAUCAGGCCAGCCCGGCUGCUGCAGCUGCGUCUGCCAGGGCCCGCACCCGCCUCCCGCUGCCUGCUUUGUAAUCAGAAGAGAAGAAGUUGCUGCCUUGAUAUUUCCAUUUUUAUCACUUUUAUUUACUUCAUUUUAAUGUCUUUCAGGGAAUAUUUUCUUUGCACCAAGGCAAGGCAAGGCUGACGGUUGCUUACAUCUUUCUGCCGCCCCUGCCCCUCAGCCAGGCUGGGACAGGGGAGAAGAGAUCCAAGACCCCCCACUUUGCCCAUCUUCACCCUCACCCAGAUCUUGGAUUCCCAGCCCAGCCCUGAUGGUGAGGGAUUAAUUACAAGGAGCCUUAACCCACAGCCCUGGAGGAGGAUCCUGGGAGCCUGUUCCUGAGAGGAGCCUGUCACGGUUGAGGAACAGCAGUGCCAGGGCACCCCACCGUCCUCACCUGGCGGAGAGCCCCUGGAGGGAUGGAUGGCAUCCUGACCCACUCCAAAGCCGCAGCGACGAGUCUAGAGCUGCUGCCGAAAAGGUGCUGGGUGACAGUCGCUGAACGAGCAAAUGAAGCCAAGGGUAGGGAUCAGUCCUGAGCACAUGAGAGCGCUGGUGACGGGAACCCAGGCACAAAAGAUUUCAUGCUGAAGAACAGAAAGGCUAGGCGCUGGUGGGAUCGAUGUGGUUUCUGUCACUGAAUAGAGAAAGGUCAAGGCUGGAAAUGAUGCAUCGCCUCAUCACCAGGAGCCCCAGAGGGCCGUGACAACACAGCCGGAACAGGCCUCUCAUAGCCCAGCAAGAGUGUCGAGGGGCCACGACAGCCUCCAGGACUGCACGGCCACCCCAUUGGUGUUUCCUUGGUGUUUCCUUGCAACCAGCACAGAUGAGACACUGUCAUCACCCGAUUGUGCAGCCAGAAACACCAAGGCCAAGAUGGAAGAUGCCCACCUGUCAGGACAGGCAGAGCCACAGGGCCAGCCUCGGCCUCCGGGGAAAGGCCAGGGCUCCCCUACGGUUAGAGGCGGUUAGGCCACCAAAUGAAAAGCCCUCAUUAACUAAUAAAAAGUGCUUGCACUCCCUUGUCACAUCAUUAGUGGGAGCCAGGACUUUAAUGAGCUCUGUCCAAACUGCAAGGGGCCUCAAUCACAGCUCCACCCAGAGGCCAGGGAGGGCAACUCACAGCUUCACCCACCUGCCUCAGCCUCCUUCCUCCCCCUCCCCCAUGAGCACCCCUCACCAGAUGGGGAGCAGAAACCUGGGGGGCUUCUCCCUCUCUCCCAGCCGGGGUACAGACUCCAUCCCUGGCCAAUCUGCUGCGAUUUGGGGCUUUUUGCUCUUCUAGCUAAACUUAAACCUGCCUGAUCUUCCCUGGAGCCUUCCCACUACACCCCUUCCCACCUAGCCCUCCCCUCCCCCCCUCCCACGUGCCCUUCACCCCAACCCCAUGGAUGGCCCUUUCCUUCCCUCCUCAACCUGUUUGACCCAAGGGGCCUCCCUGGCUAACUAACACCCUUAGACUCUCCCCUCUCUGCCCCUCACUCGCAGAACCAGACCAUACUUCCAGACCUUUCCAACUCCUUUCUCCCUGGCCUGCUAGGGAAACAACCCCAGCCUUCCGGCCCAGUCCUCCCCCGAUCCAGCCUCCUGUCGCAGUCUCUGCCUGCAGUGAUCGGGCCCCAGUGAUUCCACCUGCAAAUACCUCCUGGGUCAACCCAGAAGCUCCAUCUCUGGGGCCUGAGUCCAAACCAGGCUCCCAUGACCACUCACCUGGUUCACCCAAAUGCCUUCUGGCUCCAGAGCUGUGAGAGAAGACAUUUCUGUUGUCUUAAGCUGCCCAGUUUAUGGUCCUUUGUUACAGCAACCCCAGGACACUCAUCCAGUGGGCAAGAGAGCCCAGGCCCAGGCUGCUGAACACCCUUCUUCACAUGGGGCGUGGCCACUGGGACAUGAUGAGGAAGGCCCAGGGCUGGGCUGGGGCGGGGGGCGGGGAAGAGAGAGGGGAGCAAUGCCCACACUGUCACUCACAGAGGCGCAGACAGCUCGUAGGAAAGGAGGUCUCCUUAACAACACGCUGAGCUGCAAUGACUGGUGUCCAUGUGGGAAUGCAGCCCCCGCCUGAGCCUGGCACCAUCGGAAGGAGGCUCAUGCAAACGGGGCAGAGGCCGAUUUGUCAGCGCGAACAGCACUCGGCCUCUGGAAGGAAACAGGAGAAAAACCUACCAGCCACGAUUCCUUAGUUAGGACACGAAAAGCACUCACUGUGGGAGAAAAACAGGACAUCGCAUCCAUCAAAGGUAAAGCCACCUGCUUUACUUUACUCGUCAAAGACACCAUUAAGAAAACAGAAAAGCAAGCCAAGGGGGAAAUAAGCAUAGGACACAUACAGCAGAACCUGCACUGACAAUUUAUAAAGAACUCUUACAGCUCAAUAAUAAAAAUACAAACAACCCAGGAAAAAGUGGCCCGAACACCAAGACACUUCCGUAAAGGAAAACAUACAAAUGACCUAUAAGUUCAUACACUACUCAUCAGGGAAUUGCCAAUUAAAACACUAAUGGGCUAUUACUGCACACUUACUAGAAAGACCAAAAUUAAAUUUUUUAAAAAAUUAACUAUAUCAGACAUUGGUGAGGAUGUGGAGCUACUUGAACUCUCCUGUGUGCUGGUGGGAAUGUAAAAUUAGGACAACCACUUGAGAAAAGUUUGGAAAUUUCUUACAAAAGUAAAGAAACCUGUGAUAUAACCAGCAACGUUAUUCACAGGAGUAUAUCUGAAAGAAAAUAAAAUGCACAGGUACAAGUAUUCAUAGCAGCCCUGCUCAUUCAUAACAGUAAAAACUGGAAACAACUUACAGUGUGUCAACAGCCUCUGUGUUCAAACGCUGAGACACUGCUCAGCAACAGAGAAUGAACUGGUGACACAGUGCCGACGCCUCUCUAAAAACGCCGAUGCUCCCAGUGUACACCAGAUGAUUCUGUUCACGAAAAGCUCCAAAAAUGAUUAACGUGAUCUCAUAAUGAUAGAAAUCAGACCGGUGAUUGAAUGGGGGCUGAUUUUAAGAAGGUUUGAAGUGACGGAGAUGUCCUUUAUCUUGACUAGAGAAAUGUGUGCUUUUGACUGUAUAUAAAUUGCACUGAAAUAAAGUUGAUUUUAACAAGUGUUAGU